UGUGUGUGUGUGUGUGUGUGUGUGUGUGUGUGGUGUGUAUACAUAUGUAUGCAUACACUUUUUAAGCUACACGAGAGGUAAGUGGUCGUAGAAGCGAUGAAUUCGAUUUCGUAAAGAGAUAAAAAAAGAAAAAAAGAAAGAGAACUCGAAAUAAUGAUGCGACAUCGGUAAUAGUGAUGUUGUACAUGUUGCGAGGAAGUUUCUUUUGUAUUUCGUUACUGAUCGAGGCGAGGAUUGUCUCGCGGUUGGUCGUUUAUCGAUUUUACGAUAUGUAAGGCUCGUUGUAUGCGACGAUUAUACAAAGACAGAAUGCGAGAAAGCGGAAGAUAACGCGCAGUGACGAGAGACGCAAAUAGAUCGCGUGUUCUAUAGCGCGAUGAAACACAUGUGCAUGUGAUGGGCAUGUGUACGUGCAUAUGUGUUGCAUGCGUCACCCGUAAUGCACACAUGUACGCAAGCACGUGCUCACCUCGCUCUCGAUUCCGUAGUGGUAUUCCGUAUUGUGUCGGUAAAUUCAUUCAUAUCUUAGUUGUACUUUCUUAUCCUUACUGUAUUAAAAAUGAAGAAAAAGGCGAGUAUUCGAAUUUUGAAAGUAGAAACGAACAGAAGUAAGAAAGAAGGACAGAAGUACAGAAAUUAUAACGAAAAUAAGCAGAGUCAAUGAUACCCGUUUUAAUAAUUCAAAACAAAAAAGAGCGCACGAAAUAGUAGUAACAAAUAUUUUUAUGUACAUUGAUGUAUCUAUACUUUUUAUUUCUUGAUUAGAUAGAGUAUCUUAUCGAACAGCAUAUUUUCUUAGCAAAGUUUAACUGUUAACAGCAAUUAUCAAAUUUCAAAUUAAGAUUUUACUACAUAAAUUUCAGAUUGUUUAAAAAAAUGUAACUUUAUCAUUUUUCUUCCCAAAUCUGGUAAACCAGAAAUCCUUGAUUUUUUUUUAUUAUUCGAAAAUUGUGUGUGUAAUAUUUUCAUUCGACAAAAAUUUAUUUGAAAUCGGCUAAAAAAUUUAUCGAAAUGACAUUCGUUGUCAAGGUAUUUAUAAUGGAAUUGUAUUAUCUCUACCAUAGUUUAUAGACGAUAAUUUAACAAAAAAAUGUACGGUACGGAAUUCCUCUACCUGAAGAACUGUAAAAAUGACGAUCUGAUUAUUAUUACCAUCAAAUAAAAUGUGAGGAGCCCGAAAAUGCGUCUGAUCUAGCAGUAGACUAAAGAAAUCGCGAAAGGGGCGGUGAAAGCCUAACUCGCAGGAUUGUAACUGUGGACACACAGGUUGUAAUGAACCAUUUAAAUAUGUUGAAUCGUGCGAUUGUGACACGAUUAUGGAUAAAUAUUCUAAAUCGAUAAUAAGUUCAUUCACAGUUGAUAUUUUACAUAGCUUGAUUUUGUUUUAUUAAAAGGGGAUUUGAUCCAGAUCACUUUUUUGAGAGUGAUGAUGGUAAUGAUUCUUCUGUUGAUAGAUUGUUGAUCAUAAACACGAUACAUGAUCAAUAAAAUUGUCAUUAAUAUUUUCUUCUGAAAGCAGUUUUCCUUCGUCAACAAGACGCAAUCUCAUCAUAUCGACAAUGUGAUUAUAUAUUUCGUGGCCUAUUGCCCUUUCUGAUAAAGAUUUUCUAUGGGUUCCUCUGAAAUGUAAUUAUUUACCAUAAUUUUAAGUAAUUUCUCACUUAUUCUCUUUUAAUCACUUCUUAAUUGCAAUUUACUGUUUAAAAAAUUAAAAUCUCAUUGCUCUUUUUUCUGUGUACUAGCAUUCGUUGAUGAUUUUGGAAUAUCCGCAAAUAAUAUAGGUUUGAAUGUCUUACGGAAUAUAAAACAAAAGAAGCAAAUGAGAAUCAUGCGUUAUAAUUAGUACUUUAGCCGAAAUACAAAAAAUACAUAAAAACAAUAACAAG